UACCAGCUCCCUGAGUGGUAAGGACGAUUAUUGGGCCUAAAGCGUCCGUAGCCGGCUUGAUAAAUUUCCCGUUAAAUCCGGCGAUCCAAUCGUCGGGCUGCGGGAAAUACUGUUAAGCUUGGAGGCGGGAGAGGCCGGCGGUACUUUUGGGGUAGGGGUGAAAUCCUAUAAUCCCAAGAGGACCACCAGUGGCGAAGGCGGCCGGCCAGAACGCACCCGACGGUGAGGGGCGAAAGCUGGGGGAGCAAACCGGAUUAGAUACCCGGGUAUCCCAGCUGUAAACGAUGCGGGCUAAGUGUCGGGAUGGUCAUAGUGCCACUCCGGUGCUGCAGGGAAGCCGUUAAGCCCGCCGCCUGGGGAGUACGGCCGCAAGGUUGAAACUUAAAGGAAUUGGCGGGGGAGCACCACAAGGGGUGAAGCUUGCGGUUC
rnacentral:rRNA from 1 species